rnacentral:rRNA from 1 species
AGCGAACGCUGGCGGUGGGCCUAACACAUGCAAGUCGAACGCUAGCACAGUAAGAGCUUUCUCUUACGGGUUGCGAGUGGCGGACGGGUGAGGAAUACAUCCGAAUCUACUUUGUCGUGGGGGAUAACGUAGGGAAACUUACGCUAACACCGCAUACGACCUACGGGUGCAUUUAGUGGAUCUUUGCACUUUGAGCGAUUCAAUGUGCCGAUGUCGGGUUAUCUAGUUGGCGGGGUAAAGGCCCACCAAGGCGACGUACCGUAGCUGGUCUGAGAGGAGGAUCAGCCACACUGGAACUGAGACACGGUCCGGACUCCUACGGGAGGAAGAAGUGGGGAAUAUUGGAAAAUGGGCGCAGGCCUGAUGCAGCCAGACCGCGUGGUUGAGGAGGGCCUCCGGGUUGUAAAGCCCGUUUGUAGGGAAAGAAGAGUGGCAGGUUAAAACGCCGAUGCUCUGACGGUACCCAAAGAAUAAGCGCCGGCUAACUACGUG